UCCGAUGUGGUGUAGUGGUCAACAUUUCUCGUUUUCAAGCGUCUCAAAGACCUUAAACACCGAGGAGCCCGGGGUUCGAUUCCCCGCAUCGGAG